rnacentral:lncRNA from 1 species
GACCAGAGAGCAGAGCAGGGGAACAGCACCAGAGAGAGAUGAAAAAGCAACCAGAUAUAAUACUCAAGAAAGAGCCUCCAUGACCUACGUGGACACAUCCAGGAAUGUGCUGUACUAAUCUAUUUCUGGAUCAGAAAUGCAGAGAGGAAGGGAAGCAGGAAGGAAUAGAAGAGACACCAAACAGAUUCAUCAGGGGGUGCCAGAUGUUCCUACGGCUUAUUCCGUCCUACCUGGCUUCCCAGUUGUGGACCCAGAGCCUGAGAGUGAUCCCCAUGCCCACCACCAGACAUAUGUUGGUGAGCUCUGGGGACAGUGACCACACAGAGGUGUCAGCUUCCCUCGACUUCUAUGUGAGAUUCCCUUCUGUGUCCUACUGUCCCAUCUGGGCAGAUGUAGCAACUUAGUCUACUCGGCUGCUGUGACAAAAUACCAUAGACUGUAUCUAUUAAAAAACG